rnacentral:pre_miRNA from 1 species
UCACCUCUGCAGGCUGGCCGGCCCCCAGGCUGGGCGAGUAUCUCUUUGAAAAGCUCACCCUCAAGCAUGACUAGGAGC